rnacentral:misc_RNA from 1 species
CGCCGCGGGGGCGCAAGGUGGCGCCUAAAACACGCCGUCACACGUAAUCCGGCCAGCUGCAAACAAAGGAGUGGAGGGAACGUCAUUCAGGAACGGAGUUGUCUCUUCACAGGGGAGUGCUGGCCGCCAUCAUCGAAGCGCUGCGACCUUUGCCCACCCUGCGCCUCACACAAUCCCCAUUCGCCCACUCUCUCGAUCCCCCUUCGUAGCAGCGGCUACUCACGACUCGCUGACGCCGACAACGGCCCGCGUGCCCUUCACUCCUUGCCUCGGACUGCCACGGAGAGCGCUCGCCUCGCCCCGGGAUGGCCGCAGCACACAUAGCGCACCGACGUGGCUCCCUCACCUCAGCCACUCACAUCCCACGGCAUGCGCCUGCAACUGCGCGCUACGAAGCCCCUCUUCUGAGCAACUGGCGAGCCGUUGGCGGGGUCUCCACGUACUGUGUCGAGGUGCGUGGAUCGGUAGCUGGCUGCUGGGGGUUGGGUGCUGCCGUGCGCGCCGCGGCCGCUCUUUUUGACCGGCACAGCCCCUCAUCUCCUUUUGCGGGUGUCUUUGCGCGCUGUGGUGCAGCGUGAGUUGGAGUGUUUGCUUGUUGUUUUGGUGGCGCCCCCUCCCUGCUCACUUGUUGAGCCGGUAGCAGGCGGCGGUCCUACCAGGGUUGCUCUAUGGCUUCACGUGAAGGCGGUGCGCGUUUUGGACUGUGAGUUAGAAGGUGCGGAGAUGUGCGGCUGAUGAUCCUGUGCCGCGCAGCGUCUUGCAGGCUGUGGUAGCCCCCCUCCCCCCUCCCGUGCUCUGCGGCAUGGUAAUGUGUUGCCUGAGCGUGCAGUGGGGGGCUGCCGCUGUGUGGCACGCGUCGGCGCUUUUGCGAGCAGGCGCCGUUUACGGGGUUGUCUGGGCCUGGGCUGCAAGGUGAAGCGGCGCCGUUUUUUCUUCUGUUCUUUCCCAGCAGGAGCCGCCCCCGCUGCACGUGGAGCGGCCUUGGCAUCUCUGUAUCGAGCUGCUCGCUCAUGGUGGCGUUGCCGGCAUUGUGGAAGCGGACGAAAAGACCGUGUGAGGGGGAUCGGAUGAUGGGCUGCCUCAGCGCUGCAUCGAGGUAACGCCGGGCAUGCCUGUUGGCUGUGGGUGCGCACGACUUCUCCUCAGCGGCGCUGCCGUUGUGUCUCCACUGCGCUGCGAUGAGGAUCCCUUGGGUCGAUGAGAAGGCAAGGAGUGCUGCUGGAUACGCGCGAAGAUGGGGAGAGGUGGUGGUUGCCUUACGACUCAGCGCCGGCAAGAGUACGCCUGCACUCUUGUGCGCGGAUCCUUGUGCUUCGAGUUGGGAAGGGCGAGGUGGUAGUCGCCCAGCCCACCACCACCGCCGUCACCGGCUUUCUCGGUGUUGCGUCUUCUCAUUGCCAAAGGACGCACCCGGCCUGUGCUUCACGCGUUACAGAAGUGACACUGUGCUGCGCGGCGGAUGUCGGAGCAGCGGUCUCUCUCUGCACAGCACUGCGUCCCUGCUCCACCCCUCGAGCUGGAGGCCAUC